rnacentral:rRNA from 1 species
UGGGGAAUUUUGGACAAUGGGCGAAAGCCUGAUCCAGCCAUGCCGCGUGAGUGAAGAAGGCCUUCGGGUUGUAAAGCUCUUUUAGUCGGGAAGCAAGCGUUGCAAUGACUAAUUGUGAUUUAUGACGGUACCGACAGAAACAGCACCGGCUAACUACGUGCCAGCAGCCGCGGUAAUACGUAGGGUGCGAGCGUUAAUCGGAAUUACUGGGCGUAAAGGGUGGGCAGGCGGUCUUGCAAGUCAGAUGUGAAAGCCCCGGGCUUAACCUGGGAAUUGCGUUUGAAACUACAAGGCUAGAGUGCAGCAGAGGGGAGUGGAAUUCCAUGUGUAGCAGUGAAAUGCGUAGAGAUGUGGAAGAACACCGAUGGCGAAGGCAGCUCCCUGGGUUGACACUGACGCUCAUGCACGAAAGCGUGGGGAGCAAACA